ACCCAGUUAAGCGGGAUUCCAGGCGCCAUCACGCCAUAGUGCAGUUGCUCUUGCGCAGAAGAAAGCCAACUACAAUAUUCUGCGAAUAUUACGCGAAAACAAAUCGGCACCUGGACUAGAUGACACAAUUUCAAGAACAAUAAUGCAAUAAAAAUUCUUGCAUUAUCGCACCGAAGAAACUUCGUUAGCAUCGCAAAUGUACGGGUCCACGAGAAAACUUGAAGUCAACCUGGACUGGAUGGACGCAAUUCCUAGACCCAUAAUGCAAUAAAAAUACUUGGAAUCCCGCACCGAAGAGACUACCAGC